rnacentral:rRNA from 1 species
GAUAAACGCUGGCGGCGUGCAUGAGACAUGCAAGUCGAACGAAGGAUCGGGCUUGCUCGAUCCUUAGUGGCGGACGGCUGAGUAACGCGUAGGUGACCUACCCCGAAGUGGGGAAUAACUGCCCGAAAGGGCGGCUAAUACCGCAUGUGGUCGCACGUUCAUUCGUGCGAGUAAAGCCGCAAGGCGCUUCGGGAGGGGCCUGCGUCCGAUUAGCUCGUUGGUGGGGUAAUGGCUUACCAAGGCGACGAUCGGUAGGUGGUCUGAGAGGACGAUCACCCAGACUGGGGCUGAGACACGGCCCAGACUCCUACGGGAGGCAGCAGUCGGGAAUUUUGCUCAAUGGGGGAAACCCUGAAGCAGCAACGCCGCGUGAGGGAUGAAGGCCUUCGGGUUGUAAACCUCUUUUGUCAGGGACGAUGAUGACGGUACCUGGCGAAUAAGCCACGGCUAACUACGUG